rnacentral:rRNA from 5 species
AGAGUUUGAUCAUGGCUCAGAUUGAACGCUGGCGGCAGGCCUAACACAUGCAAGUCGAACGGUAACAGGAAGCAGCUUGCUGUUUCGCUGACGAGUGGCGGACGGGUGAGUAAUGUCUGGGAAACUGCCUGAUGGGGGGGGAUAACUACUGGAAACGGUAGCUAAUACCGCAUAACGUCGCAAGACCAAAGAGGGGGACCUUCGGGCCUCUUGCCAUCGGAUGUGCCCAGAUGGGAUUAGCUUGUUGGUGGGGUAACGGCUCACCAAGGCGACGAUCCCUAGCUGGUCUGAGAGGAUGACCAGCCACACUGGAACUGAGACACGGUCCAGACUCCUACGGGAGGCAGCAGUGGGGAAUAUUGCACAAUGGGCGCAAGCCUGAUGCAGCCAUGCCGCGUGUAUGAAGAAGGCCUUCGGGUUGUAAAGUACUUUCAGCGGGGAGGAAGGGAGUAAAGUUAAUACCUUUGCUCAUUGACGUUACCCGCAGAAGAAGCACCGGCUAACUCCGUGCCAGCAGCCGCGGUAAUACGGAGGGUGCAAGCGUUAAUCGGAAUUACUGGGCGUAAAGCGCACGCAGGCGGUUUGUUAAGUCAGAUGUGAAAUCCCCGGGCUCAACCUGGGAACUGCAUCUGAUACUGGCAAGCUUGAGUCUCGUAGAGGGGGGUAGAAUUCCAGGUGUAGCGGUGAAAUGCGUAGAGAUCUGGAGGAAUACCGGUGGCGAAGGCGGCCCCCUGGACGAAGACUGACGCUCAGGUGCGAAAGCGUGGGGAGCAAACAGGAUUAGAUACCCUGGUAGUCCACGCCGUAAACGAUGUCGACUUGGAGGUUGUGCCCUUGAGGCGUGGCUUCCGGAGCUAACGCGUUAAGUCGACCGCCUGGGGAGUACGGCCGCAAGGUUAAAACUCAAAUGAAUUGACGGGGGCCCGCACAAGCGGUGGAGCAUGUGGUUUAAUUCGAUGCAACGCGAAGAACCUUACCUGGUCUUGACAUCCACGGAAGUUUUCAGAGAUGAGAAUGUGCCUUCGGGAACCGUGAGACAGGUGCUGCAUGGCUGUCGUCAGCUCGUGUUGUGAAAUGUUGGGUUAAGUCCCGCAACGAGCGCAACCCUUAUCCUUUGUUGCCAGCGGUCCGGCCGGGAACUCAAAGGAGACUGCCAGUGAUAAACUGGAGGAAGGUGGGGAUGACGUCAAGUCAUCAUGGCCCUUACGACCAGGGCUACACACGUGCUACAAUGGCGCAUACAAAGAGAAGCGACCUCGCGAGAGCAAGCGGACCUCAUAAAGUGCGUCGUAGUCCGGAUUGGAGUCUGCAACUCGACUCCAUGAAGUCGGAAUCGCUAGUAAUCGUGGAUCAGAAUGCCACGGUGAAUACGUUCCCGGGCCUUGUACACACCGCCCGUCACACCAUGGGAGUGGGUUGCAAAAGAAGUAGGUAGCUUAACCUUCGGGAGGGCGCUUACCACUUUGUGAUUCAUGACUGGGGUGAAGUCGUAACAAGGUAACCGUAGGGGAACCUGCGGUUGGAUCACCU